rnacentral:rRNA from 1 species
UACGAGGGGGGCAAGCGUUGUUCGGAAUUAUUGGGCGUAAAGCGUGCGCAGGCGGUUUGUUAAGUCCGCUGUGAAAACCCCGAGCUCAACUUGGGAAUUGCAGUGGAUACUGGCAAGCUGGAGUAUGGUAGAGGAAGGUGGAAUUCCCGGUGUAGCAGUGAAAUGCGUAGAGAUCGGGAGGAACACCAGUGGCGAAGGCGGCCUUCUGGACCAAUACUGACGCUCAUGCACGAAAGCGUGGGGAGCAAACAGG